rnacentral:rRNA from 1 species
CCCUUAGAUGUUCUGGGCCGCACGCGCGCUACACUGACGAUGGCAACGAGUUUUUCCUUCGCCGAAAGGUGUGGGUAAUCUUUUGAAACAUCGUCGUGCUGGGGAUAGAUCAUUGCAAUUUUUGACCUUGAACGAGGAAUUCCUAGUAAGCGCGAGUCAUCAGCUCGCGUUGAUUACGUCCCUGCCCUUUGUACACACCGCCCGUCGCUACUACCGAUUGAAUGGUUUAGUGAGGACUCCUGAUUGGCGCCGCCGCCCCGGCAACGGAGCAGCGGACUGCCGAAAAGUUGUUCAAACUUGAUCAUUUAGAGGAAGUAAAAGUCGUAACA